rnacentral:rRNA from 1 species
AGUGAACGCUGGCGGCAUGCCUAACACAUGCAAGUCGAACGGCAGCACGGGGAGUUCUUCCUCGUGCCGAUUGCGGAAGGCGGGAGGGUUACAUAUGAAUAUGACCCUUAUUUGUCGAGGGCACUUACGAAGCCGGACUAAUACUACAUACGAAUAACUCAUACGGGCGGGAGCACUUGGUCUUCCGCGCUUUAGCGUUUGAAUGAGCCGGAGUCGGAUUAGCUAGUUGGAGAGGUAAAGGCCUACCAAGGCGACGAUCCGUAGCUGGCCUGAGAGGAUGAUCAGCCACACUGGAACUGAGACACGGUCCAGACUCCUACGGGAGGCAGCAGUGGGGAAUUUUGGACAAUGGGCGAAAGCCUGAUCCAGCAAUGCCGCGUGUGUGAAGAAGGCCUUCGGGUUGUAAAGCACUUUUGUUAGGAAAGAAAAGCUGGGGAAUAAUCCAGUCAGGGGAUGACGGUACCGAAAGAAUAAGCACCGGCUAACUACGUG